UAAAACUUUCAACAACGGAUCUCUUGGUUCUGGCAUCGAUGAAGAACGCAGCGAAAUGCGAUAAGUAAUGUGAAUUGCAGAAUUCAGUGAAUCAUCGAAUCUUUGAACGCACAUUGCGCCCCUUGGUAUUCCGAGGGGCAUGCCUGUUCGAGCGUCAU
rnacentral:rRNA from 2 species